ACACUCCCUCCUCCUCCCCAG
rnacentral:miRNA from 1 species